rnacentral:lncRNA from 10 species
GGCAGGAAGUAGGAUUGAAGCAUACACAGCUGGACCGACACAGGCUCCUGCCUCCUCCUUUCACUUUCCUAGUUAGUUGCUGGAGCCUUUUCAAAUUAAUGGCGAAUGUCCCAUGAAGACUUAUGAAAUGCUACAAAUGUGUGUUACAGAAGAAGCUGGCCUGAUGAGUGUGAUGGCAGUGAUUGGAGUAAAGGGGGAGAAGUAAAAGAGGGAAGUUUUUCAUAAAUAAAAUUUCAGCUGAGAACUGAAAGUAAAUCAGUUGAAUUGCAGAGAAGGGAGAGAAGCAAUGUAUACUCCAGGUCAAAAAAAAAAAAUUGCAUGCCAAAGGCCCUCAAAUUAAAUAUGCAGAUCACCCCAAGGGAAGAGUAGAUGCACAAUUGAAAGAAAGAAUAACUGGUGAGAGAAGAUGAUCCUAUGCAGAAAACAGCAAAUACCUGAAGUAAGAGUGAGCAUGUUUACAAUUUGGGAUGUUUUUAUGAAAGCUGUUCACUUCCCAAACCAUUGUCAUAUUAUUAAGACUUCAAGCUUAUAAAGAAAGUAUAAUUUUAUCUACAAGACAUACUUCCUUUGAGUAAGGUACUUUCAUUAUUUAGAAGAUUUUCUGUGAUUCCUAACCUAAAUAAAAGCAUAUCAUUUCUGUCUGUAUAUAAAUCCUUUUUUAUAUAAAUCAAGUCAGAUAACAAACAAGUAUUUCUGUUUGUCCAUUAUUACAUCACAUAAAAAGGACAAGAUGGAUUUUUAUUAACUCUGAGUGUAUUUAGAAUGGUUUGGCUUAGAAUAUAGAUU